rnacentral:rRNA from 1 species
GACGAACCGUGCGAACGUUAUUCGGAAUCACUGGGCUUAAAGCGCGUGUAGGCGGGCCGGCACGUCGGUCGCUGAAAUCCCCCGGCUCAACCGGGGAAGGGCGCCGAUACGACCGGCCUGGAGGGACGUAGGGGGGGCUGGAACUUCCGGUGGAGCGGUGAAAUGCGUUGAGAUCGGAAGGAACGCCCGUGGCGAAAGCGAGCCCCUGGACGUCUACUGACGCUGAGACGCGAAAGCCAGGG